UAAUGAUAAUGGUAGCGAUGACGACGAUGAUGGAUUGCGGUGGAGGAGAUCGUGCAGCCACCAUUAUCCGUCAGUGGCGUUGGUGAAUGAAACUGGUGGCGUGUUUUGGUAAAUAUCGGAAAAAUAUUGAUCGGCAUUUUUUUGUCAGCAGUGUGGCGUCAACAUUCCUUUUCCACAUCGACUAUCAGUCAAUGCUAUUAGCUAUUUCUAUCCAGUUCAACACCACAUCAUCACGACGGUGAGGAAAAUUUUCACUGAAAGCGAAAUCGUGCUGCAUUGCCAUAUACUGCCGUGUAUCAUUCUUUGGUUCGUGCAACGGCAACAAGGCGAAAAAGGGGCUGACAAAAUCGGGAUAAAAAGCUGAUACAACCGGGGGUACACAAAAUCGAGGAUACACAAAAUUGGGAGCUGACAAAAUCGAAACAUUACUGUACUCAUCACACAUCUAGCGAAAGUCGGUAGGCUUCGGUGGGCUAGACACGUCGUGAGGAUGCCAGGUGACAGGGCGAUGCAAACGGUCCUUUUCAACAACAACCCCAUCGGUACCAAGAACGAAUGGACCCAACGUGCAAGAUGGCUCGACCAGGUCGACAGCAACUUACGACUUCUGAGAAGCCUGGGAAAUUGGCGACGUGUGGCCCAAGGUCGAGCAGAAUGGAGACGACUGUUUGAAACAGCGCCAGCCACCCCAGC